rnacentral:rRNA from 1 species
AGGGAAUCUUCGGCAAUGGGGGGAACCCUGACCGAGCAACGCCGCGUGAGUGAAGAAGGUUUUCGGAUCGUAAAGCUCUGUUGUAAGAGAAGAACGUGUGUGAGAGUGGAAAGUUCACACAGUGACGGUAACUUACCAGAAAGGGACGGCUAACUACGUGCCAGCAGCCGCGGUAAUACGUAGGUCCCGAGCGUUGUCCGGAUUUAUUGGGCGUAAAGCGAGCGCAGGUGGUUGUAUAAGUCUGAAGUAAAAGGCAGUGGCUCAGCCAUUGUGUGCUUUGGAAACUGUACAACUUGAGUGCAGAAGGGGAGAGUGGAAUUCCAUGUGUAGCGGUGAAAUGCGUAGAUAUAUGGAGGAACACCGGUGGCGAAAGCGGCUCUCUGGUCUGUAACUGACACUGAGGCUCGAAAGCGUGGGGAGCAAAC